GAUGGGCUCCUCUCCUGAGUGAGAAGGCAAGGAAAUAGGGGCUUACCACCCAAAAGAUGGGAGGCAGAAGAUACCCACCUGAGUUGUCCAGAGCCCACGGUGUUUGCUUUCUCACCACUCCGGGCUCCGCCUUUGAGCUCUUUGCGAGAGAUGUGGAUAUCCAGCUUUGAACAAUCCAAGAAAGAAGCCCAGGCACUAAGCUUAUUGGUAUUUGGCAAACCUGGUGUCCUGCAGCCGAGCAUGAAGAUGAAAUACAUUAGAACUUGGCAAUGAGAGAUCCCGUCUGUUGGUUCCAGGGAUGUAAGUGAGUAAUAAAAGCUGUUUCAAGUUUAUCCGCUAUCCCCUCUUUAAGUGAAAAGAAUUUAUGUGUGUCUACCUUCUUCUCCAUGCCCUGAGCCACCUCUCUCACUUUCUUUAGUUAUGCCUUGCCCUAUCGCCUCCCAUUUUCCCUUCAAAGUAGAAUGUCUUGUAAAGACACAGUAACUCCUGUGUGUUUUGAUUAGUGAGAUGUUACCACUUAUCCCUUCUGCUGCGCAGAAUAAUAUUAAGAAUUGCUAUGAUUAUGAUUCAGGCUGGACAGCC
rnacentral:sRNA from 1 species